rnacentral:sRNA from 1 species
GCUGGGCAUGGUGGCACAUGCCUAUAAUCCCAGCGGCUUGGGAGGCCGAGGCAGGAGGAUCACAAGUUCAAAGCCAGUCUCAGCAAAAGCAAGGUGCUAAGCAACUCAGUGAGGCCCUGUCUCUA